GACGAACGCUGGCGGCGUGCUUAACACAUGCAAGUCGAACGGAAAGGCCCUGCUUUUGUGGGGUGCUCGAGUGGCGAACUGGUGAGUAACACGUGAGUAACCUGCCCUUGACUUUGGGAUAACUUCAGGAAACUGGGGCUAAUACCGGAUAGGAGCUCCUGCUGCAUGGUGGGGGUUGGAAAGUUUCGGCGGUUGGGGAUGGACUCGCGGCUUAUCAGCUUGUUGGUGGGGUAGUGGCUUACCAAGGCUUUGACGGGUAGCCGGCCUGAGAGGGUGACCGGCCACAUUGGGACUGAGAUACGGCCCAGACUCCUACGGGAGGCAGCAGUGGGGAAUAUUGCACAAUGGGCGGAAGCCUGAUGCAGCAACGCCGCGUGCGGGAUGACGGCCUUCGGGUUGUAAACCGCUUUCGCCCGUGACGAAGCGUGAGUGACGGUAAUGGGUAAAGAAGCACCGGCUAACUACGUG
rnacentral:rRNA from 1 species